rnacentral:rRNA from 1 species
UACGGAGGGUGCGAGCGUUGUCCGGAAUCACUGGGCGUAAAGGGCUCGUAGGCGGCCAACUAAGUCGGAUGUGAAAUCCCCAGGCUUAACCUGGGAACUGCAUCCGAUACUGGAUGGCUUGAAUCCGGGAGAGGGAUGCAGAAUUCCAGGUGUAGCGGUGAAAUGCGUAGAUAUCUGGAGGAAUACCGGUGGCGAAGGCGGCAUCCUGGACCGGCAUUGACGCUGAGUGAGCGAAAGCCAGGGGAGCAAACGGG